ensembl:lncRNA LINC01203 long intergenic non-protein coding RNA 1203
UUCUUAUAUCUUUUUUUUUUUUUUUUUUGACAGAGUCUCGCUUUGUCACCCAGGCUGGAGUGCAGUGGGGUGAUCUCGGCUCACUGCAGCCUCCACCUCCCAGGUUCAAGCGAUUCUCGUGCCUCUGCAUCCUGAAUAGCUGGGAUUACAGGUGUGCACCACCACAUCCUGCUGAUUUUUGUAUUUUGAGAGAUGGGGUUUUGGCACGUUGGCCAAGCUGGUCUCGAACUCCUGGCUUCAAGCAGUCCACCCACCUUGGCCUCCCAAAGUGCUGGAAUUACAGGCGUGCACCACCACGCCCGGCCAGAUCUUCAUAUAUCUAAGAUCCUGUCAAGAAGACAUGGUAAACCUCAUCAUGAUCAAGAAUGAGACUUUGCUUGCAUCCAGGCUUCCCAAAAGUUGUUUGAUAGUAUACAGGCAUGAGAUGGUGUGACUCUAACUCAUUAGAUGCCUUCGUCUUUUCAGUCAUCAUGUGAUGGAAAGAAAGCUAUCAACUUCAUUCCUGAGACUUCCUGCAACACAGAUCCAUCUAAACUUUUACUUCAUUGGAGGGUCCUUCCUGACCCAUGCAACUCAACAAAAAACUCUCACAGUUUUUAUAUGCUUUGUUGGGGAUUAACCCAUCUUGCAUUGCAUUGCUAGCUUAGUAUGUCUAGCAUGGGCAUGCCUGCUGAAGUUUGGAACUUCCCAUCAAGGAAACAGGAAAAUGCCAUUGGCAAUGAGCUGAAGACUGAUUUACUCUACCAGUUUGGAACAUCUGUUAUUGCUGCUACUACGGUUUCUAUCACUGUUUGAUGCUGGGACUCUUAAGCUCCAACCACGUUUUCACCGAGCUGAGUCGCCUUCUUAUCACCCCUUUCUGGAGCAGCAGGACAUCUGGGGAUGAGAAGAUGGAGAGAUCAUCCUUAUAUAAUGUUGCAGUCUGGAAGCAUCACUCUCAAAAAGCCAUUGUAGAGAAUCCAAGCCGAGUUUAAGAGUGCUGUGGAAAUACACUGCUGCUACUGCUGUUUCUAUUACUGUUUGAUGCUGGGACUCUUAUGCUCCAACCACGUUUUCACCCAGCUGAGUCGCCUUCGUAUCACGCCUUUCCAGUUCAACAAAGUGUGGACAGCUGUGCAGAAAUAUGAUUGGACAAAAAUGUUGUGAUCUAAAGCUAAUGGACUGAGUGUGGAAACCCAACAAGGCCUGUCUGUCUAGAUUCUUCUUGGCCUCUCUGAGCAGCGUUCCUUCCUUCUGGGUGUAAGGCAAGACCCUCUCUGGAGUGGGGGUGUUAUGACCUACAGUCAAACAAGGGUUUGAACAGUUGACUGCCCGUGACUGGCUGAAACUCUGUGAUUGGUACAAGGAAGUAACUGGAUAUUUAUGAAGACAGCCUCCAAGACCUUUCAUAUUCCCCCACAUUUGUGUGUAUCCCUGACACAUAAUACUUCAAUUCCCUCAGCCUUAAAAUCAGGCAAGUGUGCCUACAUCACAGGAUUGUUGCAGGAUUAAAUGCAAUGCUUUAUUAAGUGA